rnacentral:rRNA from 1 species
AUUGAACGCUGGCGGCAGGCCUAACACAUGCAAGUCGGACGGUAGCACAGAGAGCUUGCUCUCGGGUGGCGAGUGGCGGACGGGUGAGUAAUGUCUGGGGAUCUGCCCGAUAGAGGGGGAUAACCACUGGAAACGGUGGCUAAUACCGCAUAACGUCGCAAGACCAAAGAGGGGGACCUUCGGGCCUCUCACUAUCGGAUGAACCCAGAUGGGAUUAGCUAGUAGGCGGGGUAACGGCCCACCUAGGCGACGAUCCCUAGCUGGUCUGAGAGGAUGACCAUCCACACUGGAACUGAGCCACGGUCCAGACUCCUACGGGAGGCAGCAGUGGGGAAUAUUGCACAAUGGGCGCAAGCCUGAUGCAGCCAUGCCGCGUGUAUGAAGAAGGCCUUCGGGUUGUAAAGUACUUGCAGCGGGGAGGAAGGCGAUGUGGUUAAUAACCGCAUUGAUUGACGUUACCCGCAGAAGAAGCCCCGGCAAACUUCGUGCCAGCCGCCGCCGUAA